UACAGAGGUCCCGAGCGUUGUUCGGAUUUAUUGGGUUUAAAGGGUGCGUAGGCGGCUUUGUAAGUCAGUGGUGAAAUACGGUAGCUUAACUAUCGAGGUGCCAUUGAUACUGCAGGGCUUGAGUACAGAUGAGGUAGGCGGAAUUGACGGUGUAGCGGUGAAAUGCUUAGAUAUCGUCAAGAACACCUAUAGCGAAGGCAGCUCUCUGGGACGGUACUGACGCUGAACUGCGAAAGCUAGGGGAGCGAACGGG
rnacentral:rRNA from 1 species